UGGCGAACGGGUGAGUAACACGUGGGUGAUCUGCCCUGCACUUCGGGAUAAGCCUGGGAAACUGGGUCUAAUACCGGAUAGGACCACAUUCUGGAUGGUGUGGUGGAAAGUUUUUCGGUGUGGGAUGAGCUCGCGGCCUAUCAGCUUGUUGGUGGGGUAAUGGCCUACCAAGGCGUCGACGGGUAGCCGGCCUGAGAGGGUGUACGGCCACAUUGGGACUGAGAUACGGCCCAG
rnacentral:rRNA from 1 species